CCUACGGGAGGCAGCAGUAGGGAAUCUUCGUCAAUGGGCGCAAGCCUGAACGAGCAAUGCCGCGUGAACGAGGAAGGUCUUCGGAUCGUAAAGUUCUGUUGACGGGGAAAAAGAGCGGAGAGAGGAAAUGCUUUCUGAUUGAUAUUACCCUUCGAGGCAGUCACGGCUAACUACGUGCCAGCAGCCGCGGUAAUACGGCGGUGGCGAGCGUUAUCCGGAAUGGUUGGGCGUAAAGGGUGCGUAGGCGGCCUGCUAAGUCUGGAGUGAAAGGUACCGGCUCAACCGGUACAGGAUCUGGAAACUGGCGGGCUAGAGAGCAGGAGAGGGCGGUGGAACUCCAUGUGUAGCGGUAAAAUGCGUAGAUAUAUGGAAGAACACCAGUGGCGAAGGCGGCCGACUGGACUGUGACUGACGCUGAGGCACGAAAGCGUGGGGAGCAAAUAGGAUUAGAUACCCGGGUAGUC
rnacentral:rRNA from 1 species